UCGUUUCUUACCCACCACAUGUUCAUAUCUUUAACAGCUUUCCUUAUUAUAAAAGGGGCUUCAAAUUCUUCCACAGCCUUUCAAACUCAAAAGAAAAUCUUACAUUACUUGCACAUAACACUCAAGAAGUAGUAUCAGUGAGGUGCUUCUUACCAAUGAGGAGUAUGAAAGGUCGAUCAUGGCAAAGGUGUUCAAAGCAAAUUAGAGAACAGAGGGGACGGCUUUAUAUUAUAUGGAGAUGUACUGUGUUACUCCUUUGUUGGCAUGACUGACUUCCAUUGCAGUUCACUCUUGUACCCACUUCUCAACUACACUGCAAGAUUUAGAUGCUCCUAGUGCUGUGGGUAUUGUGUAGUUUAGAAACUCAGAUCAUGCAAUCACAUUUUCAAUUAGGAGAGAGGGUCUUUUUUUACCCUUAGAUGAAGAAGGGAUUGUCUGGUAGGGUGGUUAACAUGAGUUAGAAAAGAAAAAGUUUAUAAGUUGACAUGUUGCUUGAAUUUUGUAAAUAGAUUUUUAGUUAAUUUUUGUUCCAAAAAGCUUCUCUUUCUUGUAUCACUCAAAAGCAUUUUCUACUGGUUUAUCUCUGCAGCCACAAGUGAUGGAAGCUAAGAUGUUUCGGUAUCGUUAGUUUUGUGACUACAGGAUCCCGGUUCUUGACAAAGUAAGAAGAUGAAAUCCCCACCAGAGACAAUAUCAGAAACAUUGAAGAUCCGAUAAUUUAUCAAUAAAGAGUACUUGAAAAUCUCUCAACAAAAAAUACACAUUUUUUUUUUUGUUAAGGAGAGCCCAACUUUGUUGGGAGAAUUCUGUGAAGUGUAGUCCAUCAAGAGCCAAUGAACUCCUCGACGGUCGAUAUUGUCUUUGUCUCUUAACUCUGUCGAAUGCUUGAAGAGACAUCAGUGGUCGGCUCACAUAGCAAGAGCACUCAUUAGGUGCCUGAUAAGACAAAAAAAAUUUGCGUUGCACAUGGCUAUACUCAUACCCAUUGCCUUCUAGUUUAUAGGGCACAAUUGGGUGAGAAUGCUACCACUCGGGUUAGCCCAAGUAGUAGCAUAGUUCCUAAUAAUGAGUACCGGUUCAAAUUCAACUAAAUACAAAUAUGAGAUUUCCUUGAUGGGUGAGGUAAUCCUGCUUUGUGAAUUCGUUAUUGUCACGUUUUCAAAAAUCUAAGCUCUCAGCAAAGUCGGGAGACAAAACUUUCAUAGAGACAAUAUCGAACAUGUUCGGGUCCGUCAACUCCAAAUGAACAACACUUUGUAGACUUCUCUCUAAAAAGGUCGAACAUUCCUCAGUAAAACUAAUGCUCAAUUUGUUAGGUAAAGGGAAAAAAAUCAAAUUUAUAAAGACUUUGCUUGUAUGAGAUUUUAUAUCUACUGCAAAUGCAUAUAUUUACCUCGACUUUGACAA